GAUGAACGCUAGCUACAGGCUUAACACAUGCAAGUCGAGGGGUAACGAGAGGGAAGCUUGCUUUCCUUGUUGACGACCGGCGCACGGGUGAGUAACGCGUAUCCAACCUGCCCACAACUAGAGAAUAACCUUGCGAAAGUAAGACUAAUGCUCUAUAAUUUCCUUAGAUGGCAUCUGACGAGGAAUAAAGAUUUAUCGGUUAUGGAUGGGGAUGCGUCUGAUUAGCUUGUUGGCGGGGUAACGGCCCACCAAGGCAACGAUCAGUAGGGGUUCUGAGAGGAAGGUCCCCCACAUUGGAACUGAGACACGGUCCAAACUCCUACGGGAGGCAGCAGUGAGGAAUAUUGGUCAAUGGGCGCAAGCCUGAACCAGCCAAGUAGCGUGCAGGAUGACGGCCCUAUGGGUUGUAAACUGCUUUUAUACAGGGAUAAAGUUAGCCACGUGUGGCUAUUUGCAGGUACUGUAUGAAUAAGGACCGGCUAAUUCCGUGCCAGCAGCC
rnacentral:rRNA from 1 species